AUUAUUUAGAACAGGACGCUAGCUGACUAAUCUUUUUUAUCUCCAGUGCUUGCCUGGGCCAAGGUGCUGACCAUGACUGAUACAGGGACCCUUGAAGGAACAUGGCAACCAUGUGGAGCAAAAAGGCAAAGGACCAGUGGUGUACUAGGAACAAUGAGCAUCUACCGCUAGAGAAAUAGCCUGUAAUCUCCACAACUGAGACUUUUCUACGGAUUAAGCUUCAGGAAAAUCAUUCUCAAUCCUGAUGUUAAACUCUAUUCAUCAAUUUAAGGAACUAAACUGCUACUUUAACAUUUGAUCAAAUAACUCUGUCCAGCUCACUUGUGCCACUAUCAAAAAUGCUCUGCUAAAAGG
rnacentral:lncRNA from 1 species